GUACUCAUUCCAGCAGCACAUAAAUUGAAAUUGGAAUGAUACAGAGAUUAGCAUGUCCUCUGCAGAAGGAUGAUAUGCAAAAUUUAACAGGGAAGAAAGUACCCU